CAGGGAGACAAACAACGAUUUUGAUGCCUGAGUAUUUUAUUCUUAGGCCGAAAUCCUGUCACCUUAGGUCGAUCGGUACCUCAGAUAUGAAGCCAUUGAAUCAACGUUAAGUUGAUGAGAAUGGUGGAUCAUUUCAGUUCCUAAACUUUGUCUAGGUCACACCCCACAAGGGUUGAGUUUUUUUCCUGGGCCAUUAGCUCAGGUGGUUAGAGCGCACCCCUGAUAAGGGUGAGGUCCCUGGUUCAAGUCCAGGAUGGCCCAUUCGGUGUUGGGGGUUUAGCUCAGUUGGUAGAGCGCCUGCUUUGCAAGCAGGAUGUCAGGAGUUCGAGUCUCCUAACCUCCACUGACCGAACUCAAUCUCCUGUUGUGCAUUGAAAAAUGGAGAACGACUCGAUUGUGAUGUGUGAUUUAGGCGGUGUCCGCUAGAGGAACUCAGCUUCCUGUCAUUCCAAAUUUUAAGAUUGAAUCUUUGAAUUUGGUUGAUACGAUGCUGGGCUCAGCUCAGGUUGUUAUGCAGCUUCAUUGUUGUGUAAUGGUCUGAUGUGAUGUCUAGCAGAACCUUGACAACUGCAUAGGUGAAGUCUGGAAAAACAAAGCAUCUCAUGGAUGCAUUGUUUUGUGUCUGAUCUUUCGAAAGAGAGAUUGGAACCAGAGCAAUGAAAAUUCUUUUGAGCAAGAGCCGAGACUCUUGAGCGUUCUUUGGUUCGUGUCGAGCGAAUCAGAGUUUGAUCUUAUUUUCAGUUUUAGUGAAAGCUAAGGAUGAAAAUUAGAGAAUCUGCUUUCAACGGCGGUAAGCGUUUAAGAGGUUAAUU
rnacentral:tRNA from 1 species